CUCAGGAGCAAGCUCCAGUCGAGUUCCUUGCACUUCUUGGACCAGGUAGUCUGUCAUCAGCCCAGGUGCCACACAGAUGUCAAGAGAUGCUAAUGAGGCCACUUCUACUUUGCACUGUGACCCUGGCACGGCGUGUGCCAGCACCAGUGAGGGGAUAGACUGGAGCAGCUGCCUUCCCCAGGGCCAAGCCAUUAUCGCCCAACUACAGAAAAACCCAGAUCUUCCUGCUGAAUGAUGGCUGAAGAGAGCAAGCACCAUCCCACACACAUCACUCCAGGCACUGUGAAAAGUACUUCUGGUCUUUGGUCCUGUUCUGGGGAGCUCACAUGUGACCCAGGUGUAAUUACAGCCCUCUCAGCCAGCACUGGUGGGAUCUGUGCUGGGACACCUGCGAGCUGGAACGUGUCUCACAGGUUGGAAAAAGUGCUUUAUAGCUACAUGAAAGGGACUGUGCCUAAGCCUGGAAUUACUGACAUCUGUGUAUCAUUUCAGUGGUAAAUUACAGCUGGGACAUGCUAACCCCAAAGUACAAUAAAGAUCCCAGAUACCAUCAAAGCUGUUACAGGUCUCCAGGAAUAUCUCCAUUUCAGUCUCAGAUGUGAUGAUAUCUAAGCACUAACUGGGAACCUCUGUUCUCAUCAGUAUAUACCAUCAGGACAGCCUUCCCAAGGUAUCCAAAGGGGCUGAGCUGGUCCCUACAUUGCUGCCUGUCUGCUCUCCCCCAGCUGGUUGAGGAUUGACUGGCGAUCACCCCAGGAUCAAGUUACACAAUGAAACCCGUAGGCUGCAAAAGAAGAUCAUGCAGUGCCCUGGAUGCAGACCUCUCCUGCUGGCUGGCCUUGCUGAAGGAUCUGCAGUUCAGCUGUUGGUGAGAGCAGCUGCCCUCAGUGAACGGUUCCUCCAUUUCUCCUUCCUCCAGAAGAGUCCUCCAAAGUGGCUCAUCAGCUUCCUCCUCAAGGAGUGAAAGGAUCUGGGUGAAAGCACAAGGACAUCAGCUUGUCAGGCCAUCCACAAAGCCUUCCUUCAAAUGUCUGGGAGCAAAGGGAUGCCUGGACAGCGACGUGGUGCCACUGAGAGCCCAGACUCAGCUGCAGCCCUGGGUACCCUCCAUUCCAAACUCAAGGGGCUGCCCCAGUGGGACAGGAGGGAUGGAUGGUUCCAUGUCACAGGACUUCCACCAGAAAAUAAAGAAGCCCUCAUUUUCCAUAUCAGAGUGAGAAGGAGUGAGCUCUGACAGAGCACAAACCAGGCAGGAUCAGUCCCUGUGCCUGUCACUGCUGUGUCACCCAGGCCCUGCCUUUCAUUCUGAGGAUUUAUUAUUUAAAUCUUAAAAUGCCUCUCUGAAACUCAGCAGAGAUAUUCCUGCUUUCAAUAAUACAUUUGCAAUAAUGCUGUCCUCCCUCCUUCAGACCUCUGAAAUCAAGCACUGCAGUUGACAGUUUUGUAUGAAUUAAUGAAAAAGAAGUUGGAAGUGGUUGACCAAGAUUUAUUUAUUGUUAUUAUUAUUAAACUGACCGUGUAUCCAUGUUGCUCUUCUGAAAAGAAAAUUAAGAGAAGGAACUGAAAAGAACUGAUUUAGAAUUUAUUCUGUAUGUAAAUCAACAGGGCACAAUUGUAAGUAUCAAGGCUUCUGGUUUGAGGUGAAAAUUCUUGCUCUAAAUUCUAAGAUUGCUUUCCUAGUAUUGCUUAACAUGCUGAGAGGAUGUGAAAAUGGAUGUUUCCACUACUGGGAAAACAGAAGUCCAAAGCUGGUCACUCAAUAGAUAAAGGUUAACUAUUAUUUAAUCCUUUUUGUUUAAAAAGAAAAUUAUUAAUCGUCUUGGCAAUGAAACCCUAAGACACAAAACAGUAACAUUCCUGCUGAAUAUUUUAUUGCAUACCCUUUAUGAUAAAAAUCUAAAAUGCAAAAUCUUCAUGAUCCAAGCACAGAAGUGACACCUAAUCUUCCUGAAGCACUCUGGAACGUGUUGAGUUGGAAAUACGAGUCCUCUGAGCCUCAUGCUCCAUUUGCAUGCACUCCUGUUUCACAACCCUGCUUCCUUCAGCACCUCAGCCUUCCCCAGAAACUCUGUGCAAUUUGUCUCUGGCCAUCUGUGGCAACAGCCCCAGGCAAGGAGAGGGCGAGGAGCUGCCAGCACUGGCCAGCCAAGGGCUUGCAUGGCCAUGCCAGCUCAAACACAAGUGCUUCCUCUUGCUGCUUUCCUGCUCCUGAGGCCAGCCAGCCAGAGAUGGAAUUUCUGCAUUCCUGGAACACCUGGAGUGGGCUCUCAAUGCUCACAAUUAUCCUCCCAGCCCUCUGCAGGUGCGGGGCAGGUUCUCUGAGAACACAGCUCUACAGUGGAUAGGUUCACCUAUAAAUCUCGGUGAAACACAUGCCACAGGAUUUAAAAUGUGUUUUUAUUUUUAUAAUUUUUGCUGAGAAAGCAAUAGCAGUUGGAAUAAUGUUACAUUAUAAGGUUGUGAAGCCUCGGGCAAAAUCUCCAGCUCUUAGUAAAUGCAGGGCUUUCUAUUACAAUGAAAACCUUCAUGUCAGCAUCUUAAGCUGCUGGGUCACUUAUGCCUUUACAAUCUACAUCGCUCAGGCAGUUUUUAUCCCUUCUCUCAACACAGGCUUCCACUUCUCAGGCAUUUGUCUUCACCCACUAUAGGACACAAAAUAAAACAAUGCGGACACUGGAACUUCUAAGGUAACAAGAAGAAAGUUAAAUUUCUGACUUCAAUAUUUAGAUUUUCAAAAGUGACAGUGGAUUGGAGGAUGGCAGUGCCACCUCUCCAAUGACACUGGACAAGUCACCAGUCUAUCAGAUUUUUCCUCCUCCAGAAAGCAAUGUAAAACAAUAUUUACAUAAAACUGCGAGACAGUUUGUUAAAGAAUGUAAACAUCAGAAGGCUUAGAAGAACAGGGUAAUCAGACAGACUGUCAGCCGACCCCUUGCUGUCCUCACCUGGCAGGGCAGCUCCAGGAGCCCCUUCCCCUGUGUGUGCCAGCUGCUGCUGUGGGGCACGCUGGCUGUCAGACAGGCUCUGAGCCGUGGGAGCCACGGGCUGCUCCUCCUUUGGCUCUGCACGCCUUGCUGCACAGAUGGUGAGCAUGGCACGCGCCGCCCACUUGUCCUUCUGCGCCUCUCUCCAUAUGGUUCUUGUGCUGGACCUGCAAACAAAUUGCAGCUCUUAGUGGGGCUAGGAAAUUAAUUUCAUUAAGCUCAGCGAAGCUGCUGUUAAAAUUCCUCGUGUUCUUGCACUGGUGUGAAUGGCUGUGUGUGUCAGGUCAGAUUGAGAUGGGGAUUUGCAGCUCCCUCGAUUUUACUGGAGUCAAACCCACCUGUGCUAUGCCUAAAGCUUACUCUGUGGUGUGUCUGUAAGCCACUUUAGCAUACAGGUGAGUUCCUCAUUUCCCCAAGAAAAUAAUCUCAUGACAGGUGUGAAAUCAUGCAGCAUUAAUAUUGUACAUGCAUAUUUCAUAAUAUCUGUAAAUAUGCACUGCAUAAUAUCUGUACAUGUAUAUUCCAUAAUAUCUGUACAUGUACAUUUCAUAACAUCUGGAAAUGUUCACUGCAUAAUAUCUUUACAUGUACAUUUCAUAAUAUCUGUACAUGUAUAUUCCAUAUCUGUACACGUAUAUUCCAUAAUAUUCCAUGUAGAAUCUGUAACGUACAUUUCAUAAUAUCUGUACAUGUAUAUUCUAUAAUAUCUGUACAUGUUCACUGCAUAAUAUCUGCAGAAGUUCUGAUACUUCACAGAUCACAAAGUCUUGGAAAUGGACAAUGUCACUUGCUGCUUUUGGUGGUGGGUAGGGGAGACAGUAUUAAAGCAAUCUGAUAUGAAAAUGGAUGAAUGAUUUAUAUUUUGAUGAUCGAUUCGGUUGUAUCCUCUUUGUGCUUAAAAGGAACUGAUUAAAAAUGUCAAGAUUUCAGGAUCUAGGAUGACAUCUGCAAGGGAGCCUGUAAAUGUUCACCAGUCUAACUUUCAUUGUAAAACUUAGUUCUCGCUG